CAGGUUCCACAUCUGCUGCAGGUUGUUAAGAGAAGAAGGAUAAGAAGUAAUCUUAGUCGUAAGAACAUAUUAUUUUGGGACAACUAUACUUGUCAGUAUUGCUCUUCAUGUGAGAACUUGACCAUUGACCAUGUUCUACCAACUGCACAAGGAGGAGAAUGGACAUGGGAAAAUCUGGUUACUGCUUGUGCCAAAUGCAACUCAAAGAAAGGUCAGAAAACUAUAGAAGAGGCAAAUAUGAAGCUGAUUAAGGUCCCCAAGGCCCCAAAAGACUUUAACAUACUCG
rnacentral:misc_RNA from 1 species